UAGGGUUCAGUUGGGAAUAUUAUGUAUGAAAUGAAUUAGGAUUUGUCGUGCAAGGGCACAACCCUCAUGUUAAUGUGCAUGAUGUGGAGUCUCACUUUGGUGAGGAGGAACAUGGUAGUAAUUUCACAAGUGUAUUGCCUUGUUGAUCACAAGUCCUAAAGCAUUUAAAAUAAGAUUGUUUUGGUUGUCGUUUAUUAAUUGUAUGUGUGCAUGUUGGUGAGUCUUGAGUUCGCCUUUAAUAAAAUAUUAAUAAACGUAAAGUGCAACCAGAACAAGCUUCAAAACUCUUGGAACGUAUAUACCUUGAGUAUGAACAAUGGGGGGAGUAUUGCCGGAAAGCUCAUACUCCUACUAAUGAUACAAGACGUUGUUUCAUUUAUAUUAUGCGCAGGAAUUCCGUCGGUAUGGCCCGACACUCGGUAUGGCCCGAUUUUAUUAUUAUAUAUUUGGUGUAUGGUUGGCUCCCAUCACCUUUUCCCUUUGUGGAUUAUUCUUUUGGCCUGUUUUAAGCUUAUUUCUAAUUAAAUUGUGAGUCAAGAGUCGAGUCUUGUAUUCAGGAUUGAUUGUUUAUUAUUGUAUGGCUUUUGCAUGUUGACUAGUACUUAGUGAGUGAUGCAUGUUUUAGUUUCAUUCACUUUAUGCUUGUAAGUACUCAGCUUUUGCUGACUACGUGCUUUGUGUGUUUUGGUCAUGGCCUUUGCCUUAAUGACCCUAUGAUGAUCUAUCAUUUGCACUUGCAUUGAUGGGGAGUAGAAUAAAAUAGCAGGUUGGUAGAUCGGAAUCAUGUGGCUUGGGAUGAUCGAGAGAGUUGCAUGUUUUCGUAUUUUGAACUAUUUAAUAAUACUUUAACUAUGUUUGAAAUGUUUGAAACUAUUUAUGUUUUGGGUUUUGGGCCAUUAUGGUUCCAAAUUGUAGGAGGCCUCAAUAUUUCAUUAAUUAUGUUUUUUAAAAAGUUAGUUGACAUUUAAUUCCGCUGCGUAAUUCUGGUAAUAGCCUUAACCGUUAUCACGGUGGCGGUACUACUUUAGUAAUUCCUUUAUUUUAAGUUGGAAAAAGCAAGGAAUUAUUAGGGUGUUACAUAACUUUACUUGGGUUGAAUGAAGAAUCGAAGAGUUCAGAUAACUUAGCUUUGAUAUGUGACUGCAAAUUCAGGGCUAGCAGACCAAGUGCUUCAUCAGAACAUAAUGAUAAGAGUUCCUUUACACUUAAGUCUCUCUAAAAGAAUGAGAGUAAUCGUUUAACCUAUUGUCUGGUUAAUUGACCGUGCAUUAUCUCAGACUCCCGAAGCACUCAAGCUAUAUAUGUCAUUCAAUUAAUAUGAUUUUAAAAUUAGACACAACAUUCAUAUCCCUGAUUCCUGUUAGUUAGUUCUGGUUAAUAUUUUAGACCGGUUAGCCAGUUCUGGUUAAUAUUUUACCACAAGCCCCAUUUUCGCAUGAAUCUAACUUGAUUGUUUUGUUAAUUUUCAGAAACUUGAAGCUUACGCACAUGCUGCAGAGCUCUUUAGAUUAGUCCUAGAGCUGCAGACUUGGGGGAGACUUUAUGCUCCCUGAAUUUUGCUAGUCGAAUCGAAUAUGGUCCAGCUCGCAAGUAGACAGAUUUUUCUGAGCUCCUCAAGUAUAAACAUCUGGCUAAGAAAUCAAAGCAUGAUGAAAAACAAGCAAAGAAACUUCAGGACAAUGUACAAUCUUUGCAGCUAAUUAAGACUUUCUGCCAUAGAGCAUAUCUGCAGAAAUCUCCAAGAGAAGGCGAAGUUUUUGACUUGGUUGCUCCUCUCCAAGGUGCACGAACUGUCACAGCAAUAAGCAAGCAUGCUGGCAGCCUUGUAGCAGCUUCAGAAUGGCAGCAACAGCUUAGCAUUAGCAGCACAGCCACAACAACAAGGCACACACAAUAGCUGUGCACUCAGCUUCGUUGCAGCCAGGUUCGAACUCUUUACAGCAGCCCUUAGUGCUCACUUGAGUGCCUUGAUUCAAUCCUUGUAGCAUCACAACAGCACAUCAGCAAUUAGAAAAAGCCAACACACAAGCAGCACCCUACACAGCAGCCACAGCAGCACGCUACACAGCAGCAACACAACACAAGAACAACAGCUAUGCACACAUCACUUGCCUUGGUUGAUGUUGAUUAAUCCUUGCUGCUGCUCUCCAAAUUCCUCGAGCUUUUAAAUGCCUUUACAGCAGCAACUAAGGGGGUUAUCAGCUACAGCUCAAGCAGAAUAUCGCAGCAGAUCAGCCACAGCAACGAGCAAGAAGAAUAGCAGCCAAAGCAACACGCAAAAAAAACAGCAAGGGCUGUAGCUGUGCGAGCACACAGCUAUUCUGUGCGGCCACACAGCUUCUGUGCGAGCACACAGCUCUGCCCGUGCGACCACACAAAUCUGCAAAAAUGAAUCAGUAGCUCAGUGGUAUUUGGUGCGAGCGCACGGCUUCUCUUGUGCGAUCGCACAGCUGUGCGGAGAGCUUUAAAUACGAAAUCGCAGCAAUGAGUUUUACGUAAUUUCAUUUUCUAAUUUUCAUUUCUUAGGAUUAGCUUAGAAUUCUAGAGAGAGAAUUAGUUUAGGGCUUAGAUUAGAGAUUAGGAUUAGGAUUCUUAGCUUCAAAUUCUUCAAUUCUUAGUGAAUUCAAUCAUAAAAUUUCAGAUUUCUUUUCUCUUUCCUUUGAGCUUUGUUCUUCAUUUUUGUUCUUCAAGUUUGAUGAAUU